UCAAAAUAAGUUGGUUUAUAUUUAAGUUCUGGAUUCUAAAGUCAGGACGAGAGACAGAGUUAGAGAGCUUGUAAUCAAGAACCAUUUUCGGCCUUCCUCUUCAUUUCCGUUCCAUUUCUUCUUCUCUCUCUCAAUUACCAAACUCUCAAAUUCUACUGAACUACCAAAUUCCUCUAAAAUUGAAGCCAUCAACUUAAAAUUUGAGAAGAGUGGAACAAGGUGCAGUUUUAAAGAGGGAGCAAACUCAAUCAAUUACAAAAUUGA
rnacentral:lncRNA from 1 species